GUCCUGCAUGUUUCCCACAUUGCAUUGCAAUUUAUUGUUUAGCACUGAUAUGACUUACUUAACCCAUUCAGUAACAUUGUGCCAUGAUGGGCCCUACUUUACUCUGUCUAAUGCCAGACUAUUUUACUCUGUUUAACACCAGACAAUUUUAUUUGUCAAGGGUAGAGUGUUGGUGUUUAAUGGGUUAAGCACUUCUAAGGUACUGUUAAUUUUGAAAAUUCUUAACAAGGUAAACUAUUAGAUCAUUUUUGUGGCAUGAAGUACAUAUUGGUGUCAGCACUAAAUAGCUUCAAAGUUAUAUCAUGCAUAGCUAGAUCAAGCAAAAUUAUAAUGAGCUUUAGCUCAUUUGUUUUAACAGCAUGGAAAUUCUCUAAAUUUAACCCUUUAAGUGGCAAUGUACCCAGAUGCACCCUACUUUAUUAUUUACUCUGUCUAUUACAGUAAUGCCAGAUGAUUUUACUCGUAGCACUGUGCACAAUACAAU